rnacentral:rRNA from 1 species
UACGUAGGGGGCUAGAGUUGUCCGGAUUUACUGGGUGUAAAGGGUGCUCAGGUGGACUUGUAAGUCAGAGGUGAAAUUCCAAAGCUUAACUUUGGAGCUGCCUUUGAUACUGCAAGCCUUGAGUUUGAGAGAGGGUAAUGGAAUAUCUGGUGUAGCAGUGAAAUGCGUAGAUAUCAGAUAGAACACCAAUGGCGAAGGCAGUUAUCUGGCUCAAAACUGACGCUAAAGCACGAAAGUGUGGGGAGCAAACAGG